UGGGGAAUCUUGCACAAUGGGCGGAAGCCUGAUGCAGCGACGCCGCGUGGGGGAUGACGGCCUUCGGGUUGUAAACUCCUUUCGCCAGGGACGAAGCCGUGAGGUGACGGUACCUGGAUAAGAAGCACCGGCUAACUACGUGCCAGCAGCCGCGGUAAUACGUAGGGUGCGAGCGUUUUCCGGAAUUACUGGGCGUAAAGAGCUCGUAGGUGGUUUGUCGCGUCGUCUGUGAAAUUCCGGGGCUUAACUCCGGGCGUGCAGGCGAUACGGGCAUAACUUGAGUGCUGUAGGGGAGACUGGAAUUCCUGGUGUAGCGGUGAAAUGCGCAGAUAUCAGGAGGAACACCGAUGGCGAAGGCAGGUCUCUGGGCAGUAACUGACGCUGAGGAGCGAAAGCAUGGGUAGCGAACAGG
rnacentral:rRNA from 1 species